rnacentral:rRNA from 1 species
AUUGAACGCUUGCGGCAGGCCUAACACAUGCAAGUCGAGCGAGCGGCGGACGGGUGUGUAAUGUCUGGGGAUCUGCCCGAUAGAGGGGGAUAACUACUGGAAACGGUGGCUAAUACCGCAUACCAUCGGAUCAACCCAUUUGGGAUUAGCUAGUAGGUGGGGUAAAGGCUCACCUAGGCGACGAUCUCUGGCUGGUCUGAGAGGAUGAUCAGCCAUACGGAGACUGAUACACGGCCCAGACUCCUACGGGAGGCAGCAGUGGGGAGUAUUGCACAAUGGGCGAAAGCAUGAUGCAGCCAUGCCGCGUGUAUGAAGAAGGCCUUAGGGUUGUAAAGUACUUUCAGCGGGGAGGCGUUACCCGCAGAAGAAGCGCCGGCUAACUCCGUGCCAGCAGCCGCGGUAAUUC